GAUUAACGCUGGCGGUAUGCAUAACACAUGCAAGUCGCGCGAGAAAGUUCCUUCGGGAAUGAGUAGAGCGGCGAACGGGUGAGUAACACGUUGGAACCUGCCUUCAACUCAGGGAUAGCCCAUCGAAAGGUGGAUUAAUACCGGAUAGUCCCUUCGGGGUAAAGCUUCGGCGGUUGAAGAUGGUCCUGCGUCCUAUCAGCUUGUUGGUAAGGUAAUGGCUUACCAAGGCUAUGACGGGUAGCUGGUCUGAGAGGAUGAUCAGCCACAAUGGGACUGAGACACGGCCCAUACUCCUACGGGAGGCAGCAGUGAGGAAUUUUGCGCAAUGGGGGAAACCCUGACGCAGCAAUACCGCGUGGAGGAUGAAGGCUUUCGGGUCGUAAACUCCUUUUAUCUGGGAAGAAGUUCUGACUGUACCAGAUGAAUAAGUCACGGCUAACUACG
rnacentral:rRNA from 1 species